UUGUUUCAAAUCAUUAAGGAAACUAGAAUCAGUUUAGCUGUACAAUGUGGUAACAUCUUUUACUGCAAUUUGUGUUCAUCACUACGAAAACUAACAUUGUCUGGUUUCUCAAGCUGGCUUUGUUCCAAGUUAGAUGUUGAUAAAUUACCACUAUAUCUCUAAGAUGUGAGUAGGAAAUGGGCUGGCAUUAUUUAAGGCCAUAUUAAUUAUAGGAUUCUAAUUGUAUGCUAAUUAUAUAGUUGUAUAUUUGGUUAUAUUUAGCUAGGUUGGAGCUGGAAAUCAGUCUUGUAAUUAGGGAUGUAUUAUUCUAUUUGGUUCUAUAUAAUGGAAGAAACUAUCUAUUGAGAGGCAUUCAGACAAAACCUAUUGUUUCUAUCAUGGUAUCAGAGCCUAAACAUUCAAAUUAGGGUUGUCUCAUUCUAUAGUUACUAUCAAGGGUUAGAAUUGUUGAGUGUUUGCUAGGAGGAUGGUUUGGGAUCAUUUCAUUGAUCUCUUGCUGUCGGCAAAUUUUGUAGCUCUUUUUAGUUGUCAGCGCAAUCUUUGAAGGUGUUGUUGCCGAUAUUUGGUGUCAAAGUGGCUUGGGUUUUUUCGGGUUGUCAACUACCAAGUUUGAACUUAAUUUUAUUCUAGUGAUUUGUUGUCGUUUUGGUGAUUUGGGAUUUUAUUCUGGUGAUUUGUUAUUGUUUUGGUGAUUUGGGCUUGCUAACUUGCUAUUUAAUUACUAGACUUUGGACUUAUUAUUUUUUGGUAUCAUGAACACUAGUAAUUCAAAGUCCUUUGGGGUGAAAUUUACGGGCAAUAAUUAUUCUGUCUGGGAAUUCCAAUUUCUUUUAUAUUUGUUAUGGGGAAAGAGUUAUGAGGCCAUAUAGAUGAAAGUGAUCUGGCUCCUACCGAGGAUUCAAAGUUGGCUCAGUGGAAGAUAAAAAAUGCUAGAAUCAUGACCUGGAUUUUAGCCUAUGUUGACUCUCUGAUUGCUCUAAAUCUGAGGCCGUAUAAGACUGCCAAGAGUUUGUGGGAAUAUCUAAAGAAAGUCUAUAGUUAGAACAACACGGCCUGACGAUUUCAAUUGGAGUAUGAAAUUGCAAAUUAUACUUAGGGAGGUCUCUCUAUUCAGGAGUCUUUUACUGGAUUUCAGAUCUUAUAGGCAUAAUUUGCUGAUAUAAUCUAUGCAAAGGUACUUGAUGGUUCUCUCGCUGCAGUUUAAGAGGUUCAUGAGCAGUGCAAGAGAGAUAAAUUUUUGAUGAAAUUGCGACUUGAGUUCGAGGCUGCUUGGUUUAAUUUGAUGAAUCGCGAUCCCUCUCCUUCUUUAUAUAUGUGCUUUGAGGAGUUACUUUGUGAAGAGCAACAUCUUGCUACACGGGCUACCUUACAGCAAGACAAAUUACCCACUAAUAUUGUUGCCUAUGCUGUUCAAGUGAAAGGGAAAGGUAAGGACAUGCGAAAAGUUCAAUGUUAUAGCUGCAAGGAAUAAAAACAUAUUACUACCCAUUGUGUGAAGAAGUAUUGUAAUUACUGCAAAAAGCUAGGACAUAUUAUUAGAGAUUGCCCUAUCCAUCCUUAGAAUCAUUGAGCAAAUGCCUAUUAGGCUACAGUUGGUUCUUCAUCUUUCGCUGUUGGUGAUUCAUAUUUCCUUACUCCUAUGAUGGUCAAACAAAUGAUUAUUUUUGCCUUUUCAACCUUGGGACUUAAAGGUAACAGUUUCCUACAAUUAAAAUCAUGGCUUAUUUAUUCUGGUGCUUCUAAUCAUGACACUUUUCACAAUAUUUGGCCAUAUACAACAUUUUUACAAGUUAUGAUUGCUAAUGGUAGUCAAUUUACCUAUUCAUGAUGUUGGAGAUGUUAAUUCCUCUGUUAGAGAUAUAUUUGUAUCUCUUGAACUUUCCACUAGUCUUAUAUCGAUAGGCUAGUUGGUUGAUGAUGGUUGUGAUGUUUUGUUUUUUCGUUAUGGUUGUCUCGUGCAGUAUUAGGUGUCAGGGAAGAUACUCGCUAAGGGGCCCAAAGUUGGAUUAUUGUUUUUUCUACACUUUCCCAUUCCUCUAGUUAUUUUUAUGGCUUGUACUAUUGUAAACCAUAAAAGUGAAACAUGGCACAAAUGUUUGUGUCAUCCUAACCCUGUUGUCUUAUCUUAUUUAAUAAACUCCGGUUUUUUGGGCAAUAAAGAUCAAUUUUCAUCCCAUUUUUCUCUUGAUUAUUCCACAUGCAAAUUAAGUAAGUCCUUUUUCCUUUCCUUCUCACAAUUACUCGUGCUAAAAAAUGUUUUGAUUGGGUUCGUAGUGACGUGUGGGGUAUCUCUCCAUAUAUCUCAUGCGUAUUAUAAAUACUUUGUUACAUUCAUCGACGAUUACAACAAAUAUACCUAGAUUUAUAUUCUUCAUUCUAAAUCUAAGGUAAUUUGUAUCUUUCAAUGAUAUGUUGUUUCUGUUGAAACUCAAUCUUCUUUAGGUGUUAAAAGCGUUAAGGUCUGAUUUAGGUGGGGAAUAUAUGUCUCGUGAAUUUGAUGAGUUUCUUAACCAAAAAGGCAUUGUCUCCCAGCGUUCUUGUCCCUAUACACCUCAACAAAAUGGUGUUGAAUGUAAGAAUUGUCAUCUGUUAGAUGUUGCUCGUACUUUAUUGCUUGAAAUUUCUGUCCCCCCUAAAUUCUAGGUUGAAACCGUAUCCACAGCAGUCCAUCUAAUUAAUAGAUUGCCCUCCAAUGUUUUGAAAUUUGAGACUCUUUAUUAUUGUCUUUAUCAACAACAUAAUCGCUAUCUUGACAUGCAUACCUUUGGUCGUGUUUGUUUUGUUCAUUUUCCUUCUCAUCAACACAGCAAAUUGUUUGCUCAAUCUGUUAGAUGUGCUUUUAUGGGUUAUAAUAUUUCUAUCAAAGGUUAUGUUUGCUAUGAUCCAUGCUCUAAUAGAUUUCAUAUAUCUCGUCAUGUUGUUUUAUUUGAAAAUCAACAUUUCUUUUUCGCUCAUGUUGCGUCCAUGCCUGAGAUACCUGUUCUUCCAUACUUUGACGACUUGCCUUUUACUCCUGAAUGGUUCAAGCCUGGAUUUGUGUAUGAAUGACGAUGCCCAACUUUGCCUCUUCUUGAGCCCGACCCGCCUUUUGAGCCUGUUUAGAUGAUGCCUUUCAUGACUGAGUUGGAUUUUGGCCCUAUUUCUUGGCAUUCUACGAUUCUCUCGCCCUCCUGAAUGAUAUGGAUUUUACCUUACACCCUUUCAUUCUACUUUGUCAUUUAUUCCAAUUCCUACAUGUUAUUUUGAGGCAGUUAAACAUGAAUGUUGAUGGGAGGCCAUGAUAGAUGAGCUUCACGCUCUUAAUGAUAAUCAUACCUAGGAUGAUGUUCCUUGCUCAGUGACUGUUAAAGCUAUUGGUUGUAAGUGAAUUUACUCAAUCAAACUCCGUUCUGAUGGGACUUUAGAUCGAUAUAAAGCAUGAUUGGUUGCUCUUGCUGCUUCACAAGGUUGGCCGCUUCAUCAAAUGGAUGUCAAAAACGCUUUUCUCCAUGGUGAUCUCAAAGAGGAAGUUUACAUGACACUACCUCCUAGUGUGAUCUCCAAUUCUUCCUUGGAUGUCUGAAAGUUGAAGCACUCUUUAUAUGGACUGAAAUAGGCUCUUUAAGCCUAGUUUGACAAAUUUCGAGCCACCUUGCUUCAGUUUUCUUUUCAGCAAAGCAAGUAUGACUCUUCCUUGUUUCUUUGCAAGACAUCUAUGGGUAUUCUUCUUUUCCUUAUCUAUGUUGAUGAUAUUGUUAUUACUGGGACAAAUUCCAUCUUGAUUACCCGUCUCCAGCAGCAUCUUCAGGCCUCAUUUCAUAUGAUGAAUCUUGGCUCGCUUAUAUACUUCUUGGGGUUGGAGCUUCACAUUGGUAUAUUCUUAAAUCAACAUAAAUAUACGUAGGAUUUGAUUACUUUGACAGGUCUUUAGGAUACCUCCUCCGUGGAUACUUUUUUGGAGGUUAACGUGAAAUAUUGUUAUGAGGAAGGCGACCUCCUUCCUAAUCUUACUGUGUUUUGUCAACUGGUUGGGAGCUUGAACUAUUUGAUGAUCACAUGACCUGCUAUCUCUUUUGCGGUUUAGCAGAUGGUGCAUGUUUCUUGGCAACUCCUUGAUCUCCUGGAAGAGUAAGAAGUAGGCACGCAUGUCCAAAUCCUCUACAAAAUCCGAAUACCGUGCUAUGUUUGCUGCUUGUUCUGAGAUUGUCUGGCUACAUGGACUGCUAGCUGAGCUUGGCUUCUCCCAGCUCAACCCUACUCCUUUUCAUGCAGACAACACUAGUGCCAUUUAGAUUGUGGCCAAUCCUGUUUUUCAUGAGUUUACGAAGCAUAUUCAAGUGUACCGCCAUUCUAUUCGGGAAGCCAAGGAUACCCAGAUCAUCACUCUUCUGCAUGUUUCCACUGAUCUUCAUAUUGUUGACAUCUUUACCAAGGCUAUGACCUGACAACGUCAUUAAUUUUUGGUUGGUAAAUUAAUUCUUCUUGAUCAACUAACAUCAAUUUAAGAGGGGAUGUCAAUAGGGUAUGGGCUGACAUUAUUUAAGGCUAUAUUAGUUAUAUGAUUCUAAUUGUAUGCUAAUUAUAUAGUUGUGUAUAUGGUUUCCAUAUUUAGCUAGGUUGGAGUUGGAAAUCAGCCUUGUAAUUAGGGAUGUAUUAUGCUAUUUGGUUCUAUAUAAUGGAAGGAACUCUCUAUUGAGAGGCAUUAAGACAAAACUCAUUGUUUUAGUCAAGAUAUAGGAUCACCAAUAAGGGCCCAUACCCUUAUUGGCUUGGAGGACAUGAUGUGAACUUUUGGGGUCUUUGCUCCUUUCUCUCAUAUAACCAGAAAGAAAUUGCAUAGCUUUA